ACUUCACCAUCUACUAUUUACCAUAUGCUACAAAGAAAAUCAGGCCUUGUUUUGGAAUCUGAAAUUUAGUGGUGGUAAAGAUCCUGCUGGUUUAUGGGUUAGAACUUCUGGUUUUUGGAUCCCUUAUCUCUUAUAGAAAGCAAAAUUUUCCCUAGAGGCAUGAAAACCAUAUAAGUGGAUCCAAAGGACAUGACAAACUUAACAAAUAACUAGCGAAAGGAAAUGUUAGGUCUAUCACCUUGCAGCAUAGCUUUUUUGGCAAAUCCAACAUUUUGAAUUCUCUGUGAAUUCACAUGGCACAUUUGGACCAACUAUUGGAAGCUUGCACCUAAGAUGUCUCCCAACUUGAAGGUCAACCUUAACCAUCAGAUCUAUAGCAUAUCCCUCCUGCAAAAGAUCUUCUAGACGAGAUCUUGAAAAAGUGUAACCAUCUGAAGUGUCUUGCAUGUUGAACAUGUAAAUACAUAUGUGGUCUAGGAGGAGGUUUUAGUAGACUUGACCUUUAACUGUUCUUCCUUUUCGUUCCGAAA